GGGCUGGACUCCUGUUCCUGCUGAACUGAGCCAGUGCACUGGAAUCAACUGUUUCAGCUCAGUAGGCACAGGAGGCGGAGCCC
ensembl:miRNA Mir3074-2 microRNA mir-3074-2